CCUACGGGAGGCAGCAGUAGGGAAUCUUCCACAAUGGGCGAAAGCCUGAUGGAGCAACGCCGCGUGGGUGAAGAAGGUCUUCGGAUCGUAAAACCCUGUUAUUAGAGAAGAACGUACGUGAGAGUAACUAUGCACGUUUCGACGGUUCCUCACCAGAAAGCCACGGCUAACUACGUGCCAGCAGCCGCGGUAAUACGUAGGUUGCAAGCGUUAUCCGGAAUUAUUGGGCGUAAAGCGAACGUAGGCGGUUUUUUAAGUCUGAUGUGAAAGCCGUCGGCUUAAACGUGGUAGUUCAUUGGAAACUGGGAAACUUGAGUGCAGAAGAGGAAAGUGGAAUUCCAUGUGUAGCGGUGAAAUGCGUAGAGAUAUGGAGGAACACCAGUGGCGAAGGCGACUCUCUGGUCUGUAACUGACGCUGAGGUGCGAAAGCGUGGGUAGCAAACAGGAUUAGAUACCCGAGUAGUC
rnacentral:rRNA from 1 species